rnacentral:rRNA from 1 species
GACGAACGCUGGCGGCGUGCUUAACACAUGCAAGUCGAACGAUGAAGGAGAGCUUGCUCUCCGGAUUAGUGGCGAACGGGUGAGUAACACGUGACUAACCUGCCCCUUUCUCUGGGAUAACGCUCCGAAAGGAGUGCUAAUACCGGAUACGAACUCUGAACACAUGUUCGGAGUUGGAAAGUUUUUCGGAAAGGGAUGGAGUCGCGGCCUAUCAGCUUGUUGGUGGGGUAACGGCUCACCAAGGCGACGACGGGUAGCCGGCCUAGGAGGGCGACCGGCCACCCUGGGACUGAGACACGGCCCAGACGCCUACGGGAGGCAGCCGUGGGGAAUAUUGCACAAUGGGCGAAAGCCUGAUGCAGCGACGCCGCGUGAGGGAUGAAGGUCUUCGGAUUGUAAACCUCUUUCAGUAGGGACGAAGCGAAAGUGACGGUACCUAAAGAAGAAGCACCGGCUAACUACGUGCCAGCAGCCGCCGUAA